GACGAACGCUGGCGGCGUGCUUAACACAUGCAAGUCGAACGAAGAGCGAUGGAAGCUUGCUUCUAUCAAUCUUAGUGGCGAACGGGUGAGUAACGCGUAAUCAACCUGCCCUUCAGUGGGGGACAACAGUUGGAAACGACUGCUAAUACCGCAUACGAUCUAAUCUCGGCAUCGAGGAUAGAUGAAAGGUGGCCUCUACAUGUAAGCUAUCACUGAAGGAGGGGAUUGCGUCUGAUUAGGUAGUUGGAGGGGUAACGGCCCACCAAGGCGAUGAUCAGUAGCCGGUCUGAGAGGAUGAACGGCCACAUUGGGACUGAGACACGGCCCAGACUCCUACGGGAGGCAGCAGUGGGGAAUCUUCCGCAAUGGACGAAAGUCUGGCGGAGCAACGCCGCGGGAGUGAUGACGGCCUUCGGGUUGUAAAGCUCUGUUAAUCGGGACGAAAGGCCUUCUUGCGAAUAGCGAGAAGGAUUGACGGUACCGGAAUAGAAAGCCACGGCUAACUACGUG
rnacentral:rRNA from 1 species